rnacentral:rRNA from 1 species
UACGUAGGAGGCUAGCGUUGUCCGGAAUCAUUGGGCGUAAAGAGCGUGUAGGCGGCCCGGUAAGUCCGCUGUAAAAGUCAAAGGCUCAACCUUUGAAUGUCAGUGGAUACUGCCGGGCUAGAGUCCGGAAGAGGCGAGUGGAACUCCUGGUGUAGCGGUGGAAUGCGCAGAUAUCAGGAAGAACACCAACGGCGAAGGCAGCUCGCUGGGACGGUACUGACGCUGAGACGCGAAAGCGUGGGGAGCGAACAGG